rnacentral:tRNA from 1 species
GCCUGAGUGGCUCAGUCAGUUAAGCGACUGACUGUUGAUUUCGACUUCGGUCAUGACUCAAGGUUUGUGAGUUUGAGCCUCACCUCAGGCU